AACGAACGCUGGCGGCAUGCCUAACACAUGCAAGUCGAACGAGACCUUCGGGUCUAGUGGCGCACGGGUGCGUAACGCGUGGGAAUCUGCCCUUCGGUUGGGAAUAACUGAGAGAAAUUUCAGCUAAUACCUUAUAAUGUCUUCGGACCAAAGAUUUAUCGCCGAGGGAUGAGCCCGCGUAGGAUUAGGUAGUUGGUGGGGUAAUGGCCUACCAAGCCGACGAUCCUUAGCUGGUCUGAGAGGAUGAUCAGCCACACUGGGACUGAGACACGGCCCAGACUCCUACGGGAGGCAGCAGUGGGGAAUAUUGGACAAUGGGCGAAAGCCUGAUCCGGCAAUGCCGCGUGAGUGAUGAAGGCCUUAGGGUUGUAAAGCUCUUUUACCCGGGAUGAUAAUGACAGUACCGGGAGAAUAAGCUCCGGCUAACUCCGUG
rnacentral:rRNA from 1 species